rnacentral:rRNA from 1 species
GAGACGCUGGCGGCGUGCUUAACACAUGCAAGUCGAGCGAGAAAGCCCCUUCGGGGGUGAGUACAGCGGCGCACGGGUGAGUAACGCGUAUGCAACCUGCCUAUAACUGGGGAAUAGCUCCCUGAAAGGGGAAUUAACACCGCAUAACACUAUUGAUUCGCAUGGAUUGGUAGUUAAAUGUAGCGAUACAGGUUAUAGAUGGGCAUGCGUGACAUUAGCUAGUUGGUGAGGUAACGGCUCACCAAGGCUACGAUGUCUAGGGGUUCUGAGAGGAAGGUCCCCCACACUGGUACUGAGACACGGACCAGACUCCUACGGGAGGCAGCAGUGAGGAAUAUUGGUCAAUGGGCGCAAGCCUGAACCAGCCAUGUCGCGUGCAGGAAGACUGCCCUAUGGGUUGUAAACUGUCUUUUAUAGUAGAAGAAACACAUCUACGCGUAGAUGUCUGCCAGUAUACUAUGAAUAAGCAUCGGCUAACUCCGUG